GACGAACGCUGGCGGCGUGCUUAACACAUGCAAGUCGAACGGAAAGGCCCGGCUUUUGUGGGGUGCUCGAGUGGCGAACGGGUGAGUAACACGUGAGUAACCUGCCCCUGACUGUGGGAUAACUUCAGGAAACUGGGGCUAUUACCGCAUAGGAGCUCCUGCUGCAUGGUGGGGGUUGGUAAGUUUCGGCGGUUGGGGAUGGACUCGCGGCUUAUCAGCUUGUUGGUGGGGUAGUGGCUUACCAAGGCUUUGACGGGUAGCCGGCCUGAGAGGGUGACCGGCCACAUUGGGACUGAGAUACGGCACAGACUACAACGGGAGGCAGCAGUGGGGAAUAUUGCACAAUGGGCGGAAGCCUGAUGCAGAAACGCCGCGUGCGGGAUGACGGCCUUCGGGUUGUAAACCGCUUUCGCCUGUGACGAAGCGUGAGUGACGGUAAUGGGUAAAGAAGCACCGGCUAACUACGUG
rnacentral:rRNA from 1 species